rnacentral:tRNA from 1 species
GGAGGGUUGGCUGAGCGGUCCAAAGCAACGGUUUGCUAAACCGUGACCGCCUAAAAAGCGGUCCGUGGGUUCGAAUCCCACACCCUCCG